GCUGGCGGCAUGCCUAACACAUGCAAGUCGAACGAGAAGCAACUUCGGUUGUGGAGAGUGGCGCACGGGUGAGUAAUACAUGGAAAUAUACCUUUCACUGGGGGAUAACAGUUGGAAACGACUGCUAAUACCGCAUACGCCAUAUUGGGAAACCUACGGGGGUGAAAGAUGAGUCCAUGCUAGAUUAGCUAGUUGGUAGGGUAAAGGCCUACCAAGGCAACGAUCUAUAGCGGGUUUGAGAGGAUGAUC
rnacentral:rRNA from 1 species